rnacentral:sRNA from 18 species
GUCAGCACCCCGCACUGAAGUAAUGGGGCUUCAUGCCUCUAGCUUCAGUUAGUUGACCAGCCUAAGUCUUGACUGACUACGUUUUUAAGGUCAUGACACCUACAAAUGCUUUCCAGUUUGUAGCUCUGUC